rnacentral:rRNA from 1 species
GGUGAGUAACACGUGGGCAACCUGCCUGUAAGAACUGGGAUAACUUCGGGAAACCGGAGCUAAUACCGGAUAAUAUAAGGAACCUCCUGGUUCUUUAUUGAAAGAUGGUUUCGGCUAUCACUUACAGAUGGGCCCGCGGCGCAUUAGCUAGUUGGUGAGGUAAUGGCUCACCAAGGCGACGAUGCGUAGCCGACCUGAGAGGGUGAUCGGCCACACUGGGACUGAGACACGGCCCAGACUCCUACGGGAGGCAGCAGUAGGGAAUCUUCCACAAUGGACGAAAGUCUGAUGGAGCAACGCCGCGUGAGCGAUGAAGGCCUUCGGGUCGUAAAGCUCUGUUGUUAGGGAAGAACAAGUGCGAGAGUAACUGCUCGCACCUUGACGGUACCUAACCAGAAAGCCACGGCUAACUACGUGCCAGCAGCCGCGGUAAUACGUAGGUGGCAAGCGUUGUCCGGAAUUAUUGGGCGUAAAGCGCGCGCAGGUGGUCCUUUAAGUCUGAUGUGAAAGCCCACGGCUCAACCGUGGAGGGUCAUUGGAAA